GCGAGCGGCGGACGGGUGAGUAAUACGUGGGAAUCUGCCUAUAGGUGGGGGAUAGCCCGGAGAAAUCCGGAUUAAUACCGCAUAAUACCUGAGGGUUAAAACGGAGGAUCGCAAGACUUCGUGCCUAUAGAUGAGCCCACGUCAGAUUAGCUAGUUGGUAGGGUAAAGGCCUACCAAGGCGACGAUCUGUAGCUGGCCUGAGAGGGUGGCCAGCCACACUGGAACUGAGACACGGUCCAGACUCCUACGGGAGGCAGCAGUGGGGAAUAUUGGACAAUGGGCGCAAGCCUGAUCCAGCCAUGCCGCGUGUGUGAAGAAGGCCUUCGGGUUGUAAAGCACUUUAAGUUGGGAGGAAGGUUGCUUGGCUAAUAUCCAAGUGAAUUGACGUUACCAACAGAAUAAGCACCGGCUAAUUCCGUGCCAGCAGCCGCGGUAAUACGGAAGGUGCGAGCGUUAAUCGGAAUUACUGGGCGUAAAGCGCACGUAGGCGGUUACUUAAGUCGGAUGUGAAAGCCCUGGGCUUAACCUGGGA
rnacentral:rRNA from 1 species